rnacentral:rRNA from 1 species
CAGUAGCCACGGUAAAACGGAGGGUGCAAGCGUUAAUCGGAAUUACUGGGCGUAAAGCGCACGCAGGCGGUCUGACAAGUCAGAUGUGAAAUCCCCGGGCUUAACCUGGGAACUGCAUUUGAAACUGUCAGGCUGGAGUCUUGUAGAGGGGGGUAGAAUUCCAGGUGUAGCGGUGAAAUGCGUAGAGAUCUGGAGGAAUACCGGUGGCGAAGGCGGCCCCCUGGACAAAGACUGACGCUCAGGUGCGAAAGCGUGGGGAGCAAACAGGAUUAGAUACCCGCGUAGUCCCUGUCUCUUAUAA